AUUAUGGCUCAGGAUGGAACGCUAGCUACAAGGCUUAACACAUGCAAGUCGAGGGGCAGCAUUGAGAUAGCUUGCUAUUCAGAUGGCGACCGGCGCACGGGUGAGUAACGCGUAUCCAACCUUCCCUAUAGUAGAGAAUAGACCCGGCGAAAGUCGGAUUAAUGCUCUAUGUUCUUCUUUAAUGGCAUCUGAUGAGAAGCAAAGGUUCACCGCUAUAGGAUGGGGAUGCGUCUGAUUAGCUUGUUGGCGGGGUAACGGCCCACCAAGGCGACGAUCAGUAGGGGUUCUGAGAGGAAGGUCCCCCACAUUGGUACUGAGACACGGACCAAACUCCUACGGGAGGCAGCAGUGAGGAAUAUUGGUCAAUGGGCGAGAGCCUGAACCAGCCAAGUAGCCGUGCAGGAUGACUGCCCUAUGGGUUGUAAACUGCUUUUAUAGGGGAAUAAAGUGAGGAACGUGUUCCUUUUUGUAUGUACCCUAUGAAUAAGGACCGGCUAAUUCCGUGCCAGCCGCGGC
rnacentral:rRNA from 1 species